UACGGGGGGGGCAAGCGUUGUUCGGAAUUACUGGGCGUAAAGGGCUCGUAGGCGGCCAACUAAGUCAGACGUGAAAUCCCUCGGCUUAACCGGGGAACUGCGUCUGAUACUGGAUGGCUUGAGUGUGGGAGAGGGGAUGCGGAAUUCCAGGUGUAGCGGUGAAAAUGCGUAGAUAUCUGGAGGAACACCGGUGGCGAAGGCGGCAUC
rnacentral:rRNA from 1 species